rnacentral:rRNA from 1 species
UACGAAGGGGGCGAGCGUUGUUCGGAUUUACUGGGCGUAAAGGGCGCGCAGGCGGUUCUGUUUGUCGAGUGUGAAAUCCCCGGGCUCAACCUGGGAAUGGCAAUGGAUACUGGCGAGCUAGAGUGUGAUAGAGGAUGGUGGAAUUCCCGGUGUAGCGGUGAAAUGCGUAGAGAUCGGGAGGAACAUCAGUGGCGAAGGCGGCCAUCUGGAUCAACACUGACGCUGAAGCACGAAAGCGUGGGGAGCAAACAGG